CAGUUUAUCGGGAAAUAGAAAAAGAUCUCCAGAAUCCCAAUUGAAUACAAAUUGUCAAGCAUCAUAUUCUGCAAGACUGCAACCCUUUCAUUCUUUUUGGUAAUAAUAGGAACAUGCAUAUAACAACUGAAUAUAUCUGAUGUGUAACUUUUGAGUUGCUAGUGCUAGGUGUGGAUUUGUGUUCUUAGGAUUGAGGGGUCUUCUUCUGCCUAUUAUUAUUAUUAUUAUUAUUAUUAUUAUUAUGUGAAAAUAGCAUGGGCUAGCAAGUUUUCGAACUAGUAUCUGAAAUGAGAUUUUUUUUAAUUUC
rnacentral:lncRNA from 1 species